rnacentral:rRNA from 1 species
CAUGAAGCCGGAAUUGCUAGUAAUGGCAGGUCAGCAUACUGCCGUGAAUACGUUCCCGGGCCUUGUACACACCGCCCGUCACACCAUGAGAGUUGGGAAUACCCGAAGCCUGUGAGCUAACCGUAAGGGGCAGCAGUCGAAGGUAGAAUCAAUGAUUGGGGUGAAGUCGUAACAAGGUACC